UACGUAGGGGGCAAGCGUUGUCCGGAUUUAUUGGGCGUAAAGAGCGUGUAGGCGGCCAGACAGGUCCGUUGUGAAAACUCGAGGCUCAACCUCGAGACGCCGAUGGAAACCGUCUGGCUAGAGUCCGGAAGAGGAGAGUGGGAUUCCUGGUGUAGCGGUGAAAUGCGCAGAUAUCAGGAAGAACACCCGUGGCUAAGGCGGCUCUCUAGUACGGUACUGACGCUGAGACGCGAAAGCGUGGGGAGCGAACAGG
rnacentral:rRNA from 1 species